UGGGGAAUCAUGGUCAAUGGGCGAAAGCCUGAACCAGCCAAGUCGCGUGAAGGAAGAAGGAUCUAUGGUUCGUAAACUUCUUUUGCAGGGGAAUAAAGUGCAGGACGUGUCCUGUUUUGUAUGUACCCUGAGAAUAAGGAUCGGCUAACUCCGUGCCAGCAGCCGCGGUAAUACGGAGGAUCCGAGCGUUAUCCGGAUUUAUUGGGUUUAAAGGGUGCGUAGGUGGUUUGAUAAGUCAGCGGUGAAAGUUUGCAGCUUAACUGUAAAAAUGCCGUUGAAACUGUCGGACUUGAGUGUAAAUGAGGUAGGCGGAAUGCGUGGUGUAGCGGUGAAAUGCAUAGAUAUCACGCAGAACUCCGAUUGCGAAGGCAGCUUACUAAGCUACAACUGACACUGAAGCACGAAAGCGUGGGGAUCAAACA
rnacentral:rRNA from 1 species